UAAAGCAGCAUCAAUUCCUGCACAAUUGCAUCUAGGCCAAAGCCUAAGCAACAGCAGCCACUUCUAAAACUUGAAUGACAACAUUAAAUGUCGCAGAAAUGUCGCAUGACCACCUUAAAAAGUCCCAAACAUAACCAAAUCACAAACAAGAUUAAUGAAAAAACUAUCGCAAACAAGAACACUACAGAGCGACUACAAAGAAGACCUGAGACUACUCCAACACACACUUGCAAGCAGAAACAGCAGACAAAGAAAAAAGGUAAGCAAAAACAGAACUUGUGUAAAACAGCUGGAUUGUGAGAAAACGCGCAGGCCGGCGUACCACUAAAAUUCGCACAAAGUCGAAUUCGAUAAGCCAGGAUUUCUAAAAAAGGAAGAAGAAUGAAGAAAUGUUAAUGUUUUGCCAAGAUAUAGAUCAUAUAAUUGUUUGUACAUAAAAUGUUUGAUUUUGACAGUGCACAUUUAACUAUUUUUUAAAAGUAGAAUUUCACUUUAAGAUUUUUAAGCCUUGGGGAAAA